AAGUUUGUGCACUUUCCUGAAUUCUUUCUUCUCAACUCCCUCCAUUCAUUCCAGGGAGCGAAAAUGAUCCCAUGGCUGAAUUUGAUGCCCUUGUUAGUGCUCCUCCAAGGAGUCCAAUCUCAAGUCCAGUUGGUGGAGUCCGGAGGGGCUGUGAGAAGACCUGGGGAGUCCCUCCGUCUCUCCUGCCAAGCCUCUGGAUUCACCUUCAGCACCUCUUACAUGCACUGGGUGAGACAGGCUCCUGGGAAAGGCCUGGAAUGGGUGGCCUACAUUAGUACACAUUCAACUCCAAUUAGCUAUUCAGAUAAAGUCAAGGGACGCUUCACCAUCUCCAGGGACGAUUCCCGCAGCCAGCUGUAUCUGCAAAUGAACAAUCUCAAACUAGAGGACACAGCUGUCUAUUACUGUGCAAGAGACACAGUGAGAGGAAGUGGGUCUGAUGCCAAGCAAAAACCUCCUCUUCUUCUGAGCAGCUUUCCAAAUCGAAUCAGAAAGUCAAAUUUGUGUAUUUAA